UACGAAGGGUGCAAGCGUUACUCGGAAUUACUGGGCGUAAAGCGUGCGUAGGUGGUUUGUUAAGUCUGCUGUGAAAGCCCCGGGCUCAACCUGGGAAUGGCAGUGGAUACUGGCAAGCUAGAGUGCGGUAGAGGGUAGUGGAAUUCCCGGUGUAGCGGUGAAAUGCGUAGAGAUCGGGAGGAACACCAGUGGCGAAGGCGGCUACCUGGACCAGCACUGACACUCAGGCACGAAAGCGUGGGAGCAAACAGG
rnacentral:rRNA from 1 species